rnacentral:rRNA from 1 species
UAGUGAAUCUUCCGCAAUGGGCGAAAGCUUUACGGAACAACGCCGCGUGAGUGAUGAAGGUCUUCGGAUCGUAAAACUCUGUUAUUAGGGAAGAACACAUGUGUAAGUAACUAUGCACGUCUUGACGGUACCUAAUCAGAAAGCCACGUCUAACUACGUGCCAGCAGCCGCGGUUAUACGUAGGUGGCAAGCGUUAUCCGGAAUUAUUCGGCGUAAAGCGCGCGUAGGCGGUUUUUUAAGUCUGAUGUGAAAGCCAACGGCUCAACCGUGGAGUGUCCUUGGAAACUGGAAAACUUGAGUGCAGAAGAGGAAAGUGGAAUUCCAUGUGGAGCGGUGAAAUGCGCAGUGUUAUGGAGGAACACCAGUUGCGAAGACGACUUUCUGGUCUGUAACUGACGCUGAUGUGCGAAAGCGUGGGGAUCAAACAGG